UACAGAGGUCUCAAGCGUUUGUUCGGAUUCAUUGGGCGUAAAGGGUGCGUAGGCGGCGCGGUAAGUCGGGUGUGAAAUUUCGAGGCUUAACUUCGAAACUGCAUUCGAUACUGCCGUGCUUGAGGACUGGAGAGGAGACUGGAAUUUACGGUGAGCGGUGAAAUGCGUAGAUAUCGUAAGGGAAGACCAGUGGCGAAGGCGGGUCUCUGGACAGUUCCUGACGCUGGAGGCAACGAAGGCCCAGGGGGAGCAAACGGG
rnacentral:rRNA from 1 species